rnacentral:rRNA from 1 species
UUACGGCCAUACCAGCCUGUACGCCCGAUCUCGUCCGAUCUCAGAAGCCAAGCAAGGUCGGGCCUGGUCAGUACCUGGAUGGGAGACUGCCUGGGAAUCCCAGGUGCUGUAAGCCUUUU